rnacentral:rRNA from 1 species
UACGUAGGGUCCAAGCGUUAUCCGGAAUCACUGGGCGUAAAGCGUUUGUAGGCUGAAGUUUAAGUGAGAUGCGAAAUCUUCCUGCUCAACGGGACAGACUGUAUCUCAUACUGGGCUUCUAGAAGAUGGCAGAGGUAAGUGGAAUUAGUAGUGUAGCGGUAAAAUGCGUAGAUAUUACUAGGAACACCAAUGGCGAAGGCAGCUUACUGGGCCAUUCUUGACGCUGAGAAACGAAAGCGUGGGGAGCGAACAGG